rnacentral:rRNA from 1 species
CCUACGGGUGACAGCAGUGGGGAAUAUUGCACAAUGGGCGAAAGCCUGAUGCAGCAACGCCGCGUGAGCGAUGAAGGCCUUCGGGUCGUAAAGCUCUGUCCUCAAGGAAGAUAAUGACGGUACGUGAGGAGGAAGCCCUGGCUAACUACGUGCCAGCAGCCGCGGUAAUAUGUAGGGGGCUAGCGUUAUCCGGAAUUACGGGGCGUAAGGGGUGCGUAGGUGGUUUCUUAAGUCAGAGGUGAAAGGCUACGGCUCAACAGUAGUAAGCCUUUGAAACUGGGAAACUUGAGUGCAGGAGAGGAGAGUGGAAUUCCUAGUGUAGCGGUGAAAUGCGUAGAUAUUAGGAGGAACACCAGUUGCGAAGGCGGCUCUCUGGACUGUAACUGACACUGAGGCACGAAAGCGUGGGGAGCAAACAGGAUUAGAUACCCCAGUAGUC